rnacentral:rRNA from 1 species
AGCAGCCGCGGUAAUUCCAGCUCCAAUAGCGUAUAUUAAAGUUGCUGCAGUUAAAAAGCUCGUAGUUGAAUUUCGGGACCAUCAUGUCGGUCGUGCCUAGGUACGUACUGGCAUUGUUGGUUUCUCCCUUCUGACGAACCAUGAUGUCAUUUAUUUGGUGUUGUGGGGAAUCAGGACUGUUACUUUGAAAAAUUAGAGUGUUUAAAGCAGGCUCACGCUUGAAUACAUUAGCAUGGAAUAAUGAAAUAGGACGUUUGAUUCUAUUUUGUUGGUUUCUAGGAUCGACGUAAUGAUUAAUAGGGAUAGUUGGGGGCAUUAGUAUUCAAUUGUCAGAGGUGAAAUUCUUGGAUUUAUUGAAGACUAACUACUGCGAAAGCAUUUGCCAAGGAUGUUUUCAUUAAUCAAGAACGAAAGUUAGGGGAUCGAAGACGAUCAGAUACCGUCGUAGUC